GUACAGAUCUGGGGUCCUGAAGCGUCCAGGCGAAGGUGCUGGGAGUCAGGGAGGAAAGUCCUUUGAAGCCUCCAGAAGCAAUGUAACAAGACCCAGCACUGCAGGAAGAAGUGGGGCACCCAGUGGCAAAUGCAGGCCUACGUGCAAGGUGCUCCCUGUCCCUCGCCUGCUCCCUGGAACCUGGAGCCGCACCUAGGAUGGGGGGUCUCCAUUCCAGACCCAGAAUAAGCUCUUGGCUACCUCACCCAGCACCUGGUCAUGCCAGACAGAAUCUUGGCUGGGGCUUUCUCAUGGUCUGCAGUGCCUUCCACUUUGGGCCACCGUAAUAACACUUCUCCCACAGGGACUCUGCAGUGUCCGGCUCACCAGCCUGGAGUUUCUCAUCACCCAGUGAUUCCAAAAGAAACAAUCUACAAUGGCAUGACCAAGUGCCAGAAACAAACAAACAAAAUAUCUGAGGAGCUGUCAGAAUCCUGCCCUUCCGUCUCCAGAUCAAAGUCCUUCAGGAAAUGCAACUACUUCAGUGACAAGAGAUAAUUAUCAUCUUCUGACAGAGGAGGAAUUUGGGGUUUGGUCCCAGUCCAUGAAGUGGCACAGUCAGAAUAAAAGUCCUGAACUGACAGCCACAAGUGGCACCUGAACAGGGACUUGAACAAAGAAGGUCUGCUGGAGCAGAAAAAGUGAAACUGACCAGAUGAAUGAGAAACCCUGGGAUGAGUCUGCCUGCAGAGGAUAUAAGGAGAUGGAUAAACCGUGUGAGUGCCCUCAAGUUGUGUGCGACCAUGGAAUGGGAGACUGGAGGGAUACAUGGAUCCCAACUACAGGCCCAGCUCCUCCAGUAUGAGCCAUGAGCCAGUUGAAUCUGAAUGUGAAGAUGGAAUGAAGACCGACGAGAGUCACACUGACGUCAACCCUCAUAACAUGGGGUCAGAUCAAGAAAACCACACCAGAAGCUGAGAAACUGGUGUAGUGCCAGGGUCAGGCAAAAACCCCUGACUCCAUGUUUAUGGCCAUGCUAGCUGUAAUAUCCUGUGCAGUAUGAUUUUUCUGUGCAGAAGCAAAAACAUAUUGGGCAUAUUUUCCUAA
ensembl:lncRNA novel transcript